GAACUUUCAAAGGUAAUCGAUCAUUAAUGAAUCUGUUCUUACUCCCUUACAACAAGAUCCUAACUACGAUACAAAAUUAGAUUAUUUUUUUCUUUGUGGGGUGGGGAGAGGAGGAAACAGAAAGAUUAUGUCCCUAAUCAAGUUAAAAUAAUUACAUAAAUGGAAAAGGUGUCUACGAAGGAAAAUAUAAAUUGAUUUCUAGCAGCAUACAAUUUAAUAGUAAUCCUUAAUUUACACUUAAUAGUUCACCGUUACAGUAUCUACCAUCUGAAAAAUCCCCAUCUCAACAAGAAAGUCAUAAACAUAGUGAAAAGAAUGAUUGAUAUAUAGCAAAACUAUCUUAUUGACAAGUCAUGAAGUAAUGAUGUGUCAUGAAGUGUGGAUCAAGGCAUGAAUUCUCCUAAAUGAACAAUAUAGCGUAGUACCUGGAAAGAAAGCUCAUGAACAUCAUAUCCAUAAUUUAUUGACAAGGUCUGUGCAUGCGGUGUAAUACAGAGCAAGUGAAAAAAUUAGAUUUCCACAGCGUAAGAGAAGGCACACAUGCUUGUCACAAUUCAUUAGUUAAGGGCGGCCAUAAGCUCUCCCGUAAUUCUCUUGGUAUAAUCACAGCCUUCAGGAAGAUUUUUAUUUUUUAAUUUUAACCAAAAUGGCUAGAACUCAUAAUGUAUGACAAUAAAUUAUUCAAUUAAGAUGGAAAAAUUUAGGUAAAAGAUUUUGGAUGAAAUAAACAUAACUCAUGAGGAUCGCAUUUUAAGUUUAAGACUUUGGAAAGAUAAUUUAACUUUGGAAGAAGUUCAAUCAAUUUCACGUACCAAUUCUUGUCAAUGUUACUAGAGUAAAUAACUAGAUUCGUUUCCAACAAAGCCAAAGCAUUUGAAGAAAAUGAUAUCAAAUUACCCUGAUAAUCGAAUGCACUUAAAUUUGGGGCGUCAAGCUUGAGCUCAUCCAAUGUAUUAUGACAUCUGAGUAAUAGUCACUUAAGCCAGCUACUUGAAAUCUUAAUUCUCCUUAACUUCACACAAGCAGUUAUCCGUAAGUACUCAAGAAGUGGAAGUUCAGAAAUUUGGUUGCAAAGCCAUUU
rnacentral:lncRNA from 1 species